rnacentral:rRNA from 1 species
AGAGUUUGAUCAUGGCUCAGAAUCAACGCUGGCGGCGCGCCUAACACAUGCAAGUCGAACGAGAAAGUGGAGCAAUCCAUGAGUACAGUGGCGUACGGGUGAGUAACACGUGGGUGAUCUACCUCUUAGUGAGGAAUAACCCUGGGAAACCGGGGCUAAUACCGCAUAAGCCCGAGAGGGGAAAGUCGCAAGACGCUGAGAGAGGAGCCCGCGGCCGAUUAGCUAGUUGGUGGGGUAAGAGCCCACCAAGGCAGAGAUCGGUAGCCGGCCUGAGAGGGCACACGGCCACACUGGCACUGAAACACGGGCCAGACUCCUACGGGAGGCAGCAGUGGGGAAUCUUGCACAAUGGGGAAACCCUGAUGCAGCGACGCCGCGUGAGCGAUGAAGCCCUUCGGGGUGUAAAGCUCUUUCGUCAGGGAAGAUAGUGACGGUACCUGGAGAAGCAGCUGCGGCUAACUACGUGCCAGCAGCCGCGGUAAUACGUAGGCAGCAAGCGUUGUUCGGAGUUACUGGGCGCAAAGGGUGUGUAGGCGGUUCUUUAAGUUUGGUGUGAAAUCUCCCGGCUCAACCGGGAGGGUGCGCCGAAUACUGAGGGACUCGAGUGCGGGAGAGGAAAGUGGAAUUCCUGGUGUAGCGGUGAAAUGCGUAGAUAUCAGGAGGAACACCGGUGGUGUAGACGGCUUUCUGGACCGUAACUGACGCUGAGACACGAAAGCGUGGGUAGCAAACAGGAUUAGAUACCCUAGUAGUCC